rnacentral:rRNA from 1 species
CCCUAGUAACUGCGAGUGAAGAGGGAAGAGCUCAAAUUUUAAAUCUGGCAGUCUUUGGCUGUCCGAGUUGUAAAUUGGAGAAGUGUCAUCUGUGCUGGCCUGUGUAAAAGUCUCUUGGAAAAGAGCAUCAUAGAGGGUGACAAUCCCGUCUUUGACACAGACUCCCAGUGCUUUGUGAUGCGCUCUCAAUGAGUCGAGUUGUUUGGGAAUGCAGCUCCAAAUGGGUGGUAAAUUCCAUCUAAAGCUAAAUAUUGGCGAGAGACCGAUAGCGCACAAGUACCGUGAGGGAAAGAUGAAAAGAACUUUGAAAAGAGAGUUAAACAGUAUGUGAAAUUGUUGAAAGGGAAACGCUUGAAGUCAGUCAUCUUGGAGAAAUCAACUUGAUCUUGGUCAAGUGCACUUUCUCCAAAAGAGUCAGCAUCAAUUUUGACCGUUGGAAAAAGGCCUUGGGAAUGUGGCAUCUUCGGAUGUGUUAUAGACCAGGGUUAUAUACAAUGGUUGGGAUUGAGGAAAGCAGUGUAUCCACACUUAAGGAUGCUGGCAUAAUGGCUUUAAUCGACCCGUCUUGAAACACGGACCAAGGAGUCUAACGUGCAUGCAAGUGUUUGGGUGGAAAACCCAAGCGCACAAUGAAAGUGAAAGUUGAGAACCUUGUCAUGAGGUGCAUCGACGCCCGGACCUGAACUUUUGGGAUGGAUCUGCGGUAGAGCAUGUAUGUUGGGACCCGAAAGAUGGUGAACUAUGCCUGAAUAGGGUGAAGCCAGAGGAAACUCUGGUGGAAGCUCGUAGCGAUUCUGACGUGCAAAUCGAUCGUUGAAUUUGGGUAUAGGGGCGAAAGACUAAUCGAACCAUCUAGUAGCUGGUUCCCGCCGAAGUUUCCCUCAGGAUAGCAGACACUCAUUGAAUCAGAUUUAUGUGGUAAAGCGAAUGAUUAGAGGCCUUGGGGUUGAAACAACCUUAACCUAUUCUCAAACUUUAAAUAUGUAAGAUGAAACUGUUUCUUAAUUGAACUGUUUCGCGAUUGAAGAGUGUCUAGUGGGCCAUUUUUGGUAAGCAGAACUGGCGAUGCGGGAUGAACCGAACGUGAGGUUAAGGUGCCGGAAUCUACGCUCAUCAGACACCACAAAAGGUGUUAAUUCAUCUAGACAGCAGGACGGUGGCCAUGGAAGUCGGAAUCCGCUAAGGAGUGUGUAACAACUCACCUGCCGAAUGAAUUAGCCCUGAAAAUGGAUGGCGCUUAAGCGUAGUACCCAUACCUCACC